UGGUGCCAGGAAUGAUGAAUCAAUUAGAUGUGUGAUGGGGUUCACCCCAUGAACUCAUUUGUUGAGGCUUAUUGAUAUUCUGACCUGCGUUUU